rnacentral:lncRNA from 1 species
GGGGAUAGGUGUAACGAGUGCGCUGAGAGUCGGGAAGCAAGUUCAGGGAGUGAGUGUUUUAAUAAAUAAAAGAAACAAUGCACCGACAUGAAAACAGAGUCAAUAACACCUGAGGAAAGAACCAAGGGGAGUGACAGAUAUAGGGAAGAUAAUCAACGAGGUCAUGUCCAGCAACCAAUGAUCCGGGUCAUGUAGGUUCCGUCCCUCUCUUCGCCCCAACCUGGGCUCGAACCAGGGACCCUUGCACACAUCAACAACUGACACCCCACGAAGCAUCGUUACCCAUCGCGCCACAAAAGCCGCGGCCCUUGCAACGCAAGGGGAAACCCUACUUCAAGUCUCAGAGCGAGUGACGUCACUGAUUGAAAUGCUACUAGCGCGCACCACCGCUAACUAACUAGCCAUUUCACAUCGGUUACACAAACACACCAAGACAUUGUGAAGAGGGCACGACAACACCUUUUUCCCCUCAGGAGACUGAAAAGAUUUGACAUGGGUCCCCAG